rnacentral:lncRNA from 1 species
AAAUUUUAGCAUGAAAAAGAAUCACAUAGGGAGCUUGUUAAAAAUACAGAGUCUAGGCUCAACCACCAUCAAUUCUAAAUCCAAAAUCCUGGUGUGGUUCCUGAGAAUCUGUUCUCUAACAAGCUCACCAGGUGAUUCUGAUGGAAGGUGAUAGGCAAAACUCACUUGAGAAACACUGCUGCAGGCCAUGAGGAAUGAUUAGGGAUGCAUCAGAGGAGUGAUGUAAUCGGCUGUAUGGUAUAAGAAGAUAAGCACUUCCUGUAGGAUAAAUCAGAGGACACCAAGACUGGAAGGAGAAAUGGGCACAUGAUGCCAUCCCAGCCGAUGAAAUGUGAGGACAUUAUGUUUGAGGAUGUAAGCUUGAAGCUGCUUUGGAAUAUCAGAAACUAGCCUAAGGACAAACACCAACAUUCUGAAGACGGCAGAGCAAAAGAUGGAAAGAAGAUUAGCCCUGAGCUAACGUCCGUCACCAAUCCUCUUCUUUUUGCUGAGGAAGACUGGGCCUGAGCUAACAUCCAUGCCCAUCUUCCUCUACUCCAUAUGUGGGUUGCCUACCACAGCAUGGUUUUUGCCAAGCAGUGCCGUGUCCGCACCUGGGAUCCAAACCGGUGAACCCCGGGCCACCAAGAAGCGGAACGUGGGAACCUAACUGCUACGCCACCAGGCCGGCCCCCUACAAUAAUCUUGAUACAGAAGUACUGGGCCUGCAAUCAGACAGAUGGGGCCUACCAGCCUACUUGUUUUUUCUGCCACAUGUGCCACAACUGGUAGGCCGAUCAGAAUCAAAGGCAGAGCCCUGAAAUUCAGAUUUUGUUUCCUGAACCAUAUUUACCUCUCAGGCUUCUGCCAGGUCUUUACAUUUUAUAAGGCAAAAAUUGAAAGUUUCUGGCACACUCAGACAUGGGACCAGAAGACAAUAAAGCUAUUCAUCACUUUUGGCAUGAAUCUGUCUGUUCUUAGAAGAAUCUUAAAUUGUCAUUGACUUUAAGACAUUUUCAGCUUAAAAACCCUACAUCUAUGUAAGUCCAUGUGUUCUUUGUGUACUUUUGUGUUCUAUUCCAAACUCAGCCACAAAAGUAAACUUUUGGUAAAAAUGGUUCAGGUUCAGCAAAAUACCAAAUAGGAUUUGCCAAAAGUUAUUCUCCCUUAUAUUUUAAACCGCUGUGCAUUGUGGGGAAAACACAAUCCACUUGUCUCUAAUUCAUUUAUACUUAAUAAAGUAGAAAGUAAUAAAGUGAAAUAUUUUAUUAGUUGUCCACUGUCCGAACGGCCUUUUGAGAUUCUUGUAUAGUUUUCUUUUCUCUUGUCUUCCCUGUCUACGCUGACCUCAACUAAAAGACAUUUUCUAACUAGUGAUGCUUAAAUAGUAAAAGACUCCUUUCACUUUGAAACCUAGUAAAAUAUGCACCCUUGUUUCUCAUUUUUUAUCAAAGUAUUUAUGACCUGAUCAUUUGAAUGUAAUUUUCAAACACUUAACAAAGAUCUUACUGAAUUGUAUGGUUUUCUUUUGACGUUAAAACAGGGAGAAAAAGAACUCUAAGUAUGUUAAAACACUUCCAAGUUUUCCAGUUUGUUUCAGAAGAAAGGUUAAAUAAUUGCUAUCUUGUUCUUUUCACUAUUUGAUCCUACUUUAGAUAAUUUAAUAUAAAUGAACAUUUUAAGUUAAAACAUUUUUUGGAAGCAGCAUCCAAACCAUGAUGUGUCUUUUCCCGUAUCAAAUAUUCAUAUAUGUGAUUUGAUAUGGAAGAGUUGGCUUUUCCUGACCACUCCUCCCACCACAAUCAAACACACCCAAUCCCUAUUAUCCAUAUCUGAUUUCCUUUUGAAAAUAAUGUAAUACAUCUGCUGUAAUCCUGGGGAGAUGUGGGGGAGACGUAAAUUCUGAUAAAAGUCAGACAUGUUGAUGACAGUCUGCAGCCCGAUACACUUGAAAAUACUGUGCAAGAUGCAAAGGAAAUUUCGUGAAAUGAUAACCCAUGGAAGAGCACUAUAUGUGAAGAGCAUCCAGGGAGCUACAGAGUCAGAGUGCUACAGCAUGAGGAUAGAGACUGUUUUCCAGAGAAGUAAAUUCCCUAACUUCAAUCCCUAUGUCAAACGGACUGAUCCAUGUCAGAAACAUUUUCUCUCUAAACUGAAUCUCUCAUACUGUUAUUAAAUUCUUUUAUUUCAUCAAGUCCUCUGUAAACAUUCAAUCGGCUGGAUUCCAAACUCUCCUGUAGUAAUGUAUUUUGUUCUUGAAAACUGUUAAUAAACCUUAGGACCUUAGAAAGGGUGUAUAGAAAUGAGACAUUGAGAACCACUUCAUAAUGGAAUCUACUAGAGAGCAAAGCACAGCUUAUUGGGUAAUUACAUGGAUGCUGGAGGCAGGUGGCAUGGGUUUAAAACUUUACUCUGGUAUUUUCUACACAUUCUCUUUGGGUAAGUUACCUAAGCUCUCUGUGCCUCAGUUUACUCAAAUAAAAAGACUAUAAAUAGUCCUUACUUGAUAUAGUUGUUGUAGAAUUUAAUAAAUUAAUUCCUAUAAAGCAAAUAUAUCUCCUUCACAACCAGCUCAUCUCUCAUCUAUUGCACUCUCUAUUACCUUUCCAGAGCCCAACGCCUACUUCUUUGUCAACAUUUGCCCAACAAAAUCUUCAAAACCAAGCUACAUAUCUACCUGCUCCUGGAAGAGCUCUGAGAUUAAUCCAAUUUAGCUCCAGUGUCUCCCACUCAGUCUUACCUCAGGACUCCAGUAGUGAAUAAACUAUUGUUAUAGGAAUUUAUUGUUCUGAAAUCAUUUCAUCCCACUUUAUAUGUCUGAUUUUUCUCUCUCCAAUGAGAAAGCCAGCUCUUGAGAGUAGAAAUAUUUUAUAUCUCUUUCAUUACUUGCUCCACUCUACCUCUUUAUCUAUACCACAUAUACAUACCGCAAUAUUCAAAAUAAUUUCUUUAGUUCAUUCAUUUCUUAAGAAAAUGUCACUAAAAGAGUUUAUUUCUUAACUUAAACAAAUUU